UGAUCCAGAGUACCACGAGACACGUGAAACCUUGUGGGAAGCAGGGAGGACCACCUCCCAAGGCUAAAUACUACCUGAUGACCGAUAGUGAAGCAGUACCGUGAGGGAAAGGUGAAAAGAACCCCGGGAGGGGAGUGAAAUAGAACCUGAAACCGUGUGCCUACAACCGCUCAGAGCCCCUUAUGAGGGUGAUGAGGUGCUUUUUGUAGAACGAGCCAACGAGUUACGGUAUGUAGCAAGGUUAAGUACUUAAGGUACGGAGCCGAAGGGAAACCGAGUCUGAAUAGGGCGACUAGUUGCAUGCCGUAGACCCGAAACCGGGUGACCUAUCCAUGGCCAGGUUGAAGCGAGGGUAAAACCUCGUGGAGGACCGAACCACGUUGCUGUUGAAAAAGCAUGGGAUGAGCUGUGGAUAGCGGAGAAAUUCCAAUCGAACCCGGAGAUAGCUGGUUCUCUCCGAAAUAGCUUUAGGGCUAGCGUCGAGUAUGAGUAGUGGAGGUAGAGCACUGAAUGGGCUAGGGGGCAUAGCGCUUACCGAACCUUAUCAAACUCCGAAUGCCACAUACUUUGAGCUCGGCAGUCAGACUACGAAUGAUAAGAUCCGUGGUCAAAAGGGAAACAGCCCAGAUCGUCAGCUAAGGUCCCAAAGUGUAAGUUAAGUGGGAAAGGAUGUGAGAUUUCUAAGACAACUAGGAUGUUGGCUUAGAAGCAGCCAUUCAUUAAAAGAGUGCGUAAUAGCUCACUAGUCGAGAGAUCUUGCGCCGAAAAUGUAACGGGGCUAAACUUACCACCGAAGCUACGGGCUUGAACUUAGUUCAAGCGGUAGGAGAGCGUCGUAACCGGGCUGAAGUCGUACCGUAAGGAGCGGUGGACUGGUUACGAGUGAGAAUGUUGGCAUCAGUAGCGAGAUGUGGGUGAGAAUCCCACAGGCCGAAAACCUAAGGUUUCCUCAGGAAGGUUCGUCCGCUGAGGGUUAGUCGGGACCUAAGCCGAGGCCGAAAGGCGUAGGUGAUGGACAACUGGUUGAUAUUCCAGUACCACUACCAUCGUUAUUAUCGAUGGCGUGACGCAGGAGGAUAGUGUGUGCUAGCUAUUGGAUGCUAGUCUAAGCGUUUAGGCAGUGAGAGUAGGCAAAUCCGCUCUCAUAAUGCUGAGGCGUGAUGGGGAAGGUUCUACGGAACCGAAGUACAUGAUUCCACGCUGCCAAGAAAAGCGUCUAGAGAGAGAAGUAGUGCCCGUACCGCAAACCGACACAGGUAGGUGAGGAGAGAAUCCUAAGGCCGGCGGAAGAAUUACAGUUAAGGAACUCGGCAAAUUGACCCCGUAAGUUCGCGAGAAGGGGUGCCUACGAGAGUAGGCCGCAGAGAAUAGGCCCAAGCAACUGUUUAGCAAAAACACAGGUCUCUGCUAAAGCGUAAGCUGAUGUAUAGGGGCUGACGCCUGCCCGGUGCUGGAAGGUUAAGGGGAACACUUAGCGCAAGCGAAGGUGUGAACUUAAGCCCCAGUAAACGGCGGCCGUAACUAUAACGGUCCUAAGGUAGCGAAAUUCCUUGUCAGGUAAGUUCUGACCCGCACGAAUGGCGUAAUGACUUGGGCACUGUCUCAACUGUAAAUCCGGCGAAGUUGUAGUGCGAGUGAAGAUGCUCGCUACCCGCGAUUGGACGGAAAGACCCCGUAGAGCUUUACUGUAGCUUAGCAUUGAGUUUUGGUAUUGUCUGUACAGGAUAGGUGGGAGACUAGGAAACCAGGGCGUCAGCCUUGGUGGAGUCAACCUUGGGAUACCACCCUGACAGUACUGAAAUUCUAACUGGCGGCCAUGAAUCUGGUCACAGGACAUUGUUAGGUGGGCAGUUUGACUGGGGCGGUCGCCUCCUAAAAAGUAACGGAGGCGCCCAAAGGUUCCCUCAGAACGGUCGGAAAUCGUUCGAAGAGUGCAAAGGCAGAAGGGAGCCUGACUGCGACACCCACAAGUGGAGCAGGGACGAAAGUCGGGCUUAGUGAUCCGGUGGUACCUCGUGGGAGGGCCAUCGCUCAACGGAUAAAAGCUACCUCGGGGAUAACAGGCUGAUCUCCCCCAAGAGUCCACAUCGACGGGGAGGUUUGGCACCUCGAUGUCGGCUCGUCGCAUCCUGGGGCUGAAGUAGGUCCCAAGGGUUGGGCUGUUCGCCCAUUAAAGCGGCACGCGAGCUGGGUUCAGAACGUCGUGAGACAGUUCGGUCCCUAUCCGUCGCGGGCGUAGGAAAUUUGAGAGGAGCUGUCCUUAGUACGAGAGGACCGGGAUGGACUGACCUCUGGUGUACCAGUUGUUCCGCCAGGAGCACAGCUGGGUAGCUAAGUCGGGAAUGGAUAAACGCUGAAAGCAUCUAAGCGUGAAGCCAACCUCAAGAUGAGAUUUCCCAUAGCGUAAGCUAGUAAGAUCCCUUGAAGAACACAAGGUUGAUAGGUCGGGGGUGUAAGC
rnacentral:rRNA from 1 species